ACAAAAGCGCUUGGGGCAAUGACGCAGCUAGUGAGGUUCUAACCGAGGUGCGUCUAUUGCUGGUUGAAAACUAUUUCCAAACCCCCUCUUAGGCCUGGGUUCAGCCCCGGCCUUAGAGAAUGUCUGGAAGUGCUCCCUAGGG
rnacentral:snRNA from 2 species